AGAGUUUGAUCAUGGCUCAGAAUCAACGCUGGCGGCGUGCCUAACACAUGCAAGUCGAACGAGAAAGUGGAGCAAUCCAUGAGUACAGUGGCGACCGGGUGAGUAACACGUGAUCAACCUACCCUCGAGUGGGGGAUAACUCCGGGAAACCGGAGCUAAUACCGCAUAACAUCUUCGGUCCACAUGAACUGAUGAUCAAAGGAGCAAUUCGCUUGAGGAGGGGGUCGCGGCUGAUUAGCUAGUUGGUAGGGUAAUGGCCUACCAAGGCUUAGAUCGGUAUCCGGCCUGAGAGGGCGCACGGACACACUGGAACUGAAACACGGUCCAGACUCCUACGGGAGGCAGCAGUGGGGAAUUUUGCGCAAUGGGGGAAACCCUGACGCAGCAACGCCGCGUGGAGGAUGAAGUCCCUUGGGACGUAAACUCCUUUCGACCGGGAAGAUACUGACGGUACCGGAUGAAGAAGCACCGGCUAACUCUGUGCCAGCAGCCGCGGUAAUACAGAGGGUGCGAGCGUUGUUCGGAAUUAUUGGGCGUAAAGGGCGCGUAGGCGGCGCGGUAAGUCACCUGUGAAAUCUCCUGGCUCAACUGGGAGCUUGCAGGCGAAACUGCCGUGCUGGAGUGUGGGUGAGGUGCGUGGAAUUCCUGGUGUAGCGGUGAAAUGCGUAGAUAUCAGGAGGAACACCUGUGGCGAAAGCGGCGCACUGGACCACAACUGACGCUGAGGCGCGAAAGCUAGGGGAGCAAACAGGAUUAGAUACCCUAGUAGUCC
rnacentral:rRNA from 1 species